GGGGCUGUAGUCUAGGCAGGUAUGACGACGGGCUCCAGACCCGUAGGUCGUCGGUUCAAAUCCGGCCAGCCCCACCA
rnacentral:tRNA from 1 species